rnacentral:rRNA from 1 species
UCAAAAACAUGUCUUAUUGAAGAUAAUUUUAAGUUUAACCUGCCCACUGAAAUUUUUAAAUGGCCGCAGUAUUUUGACUGUGCUAAGGUAGCAUAAUCAUUAGUUUCUUAAUUAGAAGCUGGAAUGAAUGGUUGGAUGAAAUAAUAAUUGUCUCUGUUAAAUUUUUUUUGAAUUUUAUUUUUUAGUUAAAAAGCUUAAAUUAAUUUGAAAGACGAGAAGACCCUAUAGAGUUUUAUAUAUUAUUUAAUUAAUUUUAUUGGUAUAAAAAUUUUUAAUUUAAUGAUAUAUUUGAUUGGGGUGAUUGAAAAAUUAAAUAAACUUUUUUUUAUAUUAAACAUGAAUUUAUGAAUAGUUGAUCCAUUAAUUGUGAUUAAAAGAUUAAAUUACCUUAGGGAUAACAGCGUAAUAUUAUCAAAGAGUUCUUAUCGAAGAUNAAGAUUGCGACCUCGAUGUUGGAUUAAAAUUAUUGUUGGUGUAGAAGUUAACAGUAUUAGGUCUGUUCGACCUUUAAAAUUUUACAUGAUCUGA